rnacentral:rRNA from 1 species
AAAUUGAAGAGUUUGAUCAUGGCUCAGAUUGAACGCUGGCGGCAGGCCUAACACAUGCAAGUCGAACGGUAACAGGAAGCAGCUUGCUGCUUCGCUGACGAGUGGCGGACGGGUGAGUAAUGUCUGGGAAACUGCCUGAUGGAGGGGGAUAACUACUGGAAACGGUGGCUAAUACCGCAUAACGUCGCAAGACCAAAGAGGGGGACCUUCGGGCCUCUUGCCAUCAGAUGUGCCCAGAUGGGAUUAGCUAGUUGGUGAGGUAACGGCUCACCAAGGCGACG